UUUUCCUGAGCGGUAUGGUACGGCACGUGGGAAAUCACGAUCAGAGAGAAGUAACGAGACGAGAAAUCCGCAGGAAAUAACGAAGUACAAGCGUGAAUUAUCUAUCUAUCUCUUUCCUUGUUGCGGCCGCUCGCCCUACAUCAGUGCCAAAGGCUUGCGACUUGUCUGGAUCCAGAGGUGGAAGAAGGACCUCCAUCAUCUUUGUACCCGGAUCCUAUUCCUAUCCACAGCUAGUAACUGAGGGUUGCCUGGUUGCCCUCACCUGCCAAAUACCUGCUUCGGGGGAUACCAACUAAUAACUAAUAGCGGGAUUUCCACAAAUGGUAAGAGUAAACACCUCUAGAAUCUACGGAUCUGAGGACCUAGCCCUUAAAAAGGGAGUGAAACGUUGCGCUCACUAACGCUUAUUAAGAGGGCUACGCUCGCUACAAUCCUCUUAUCUUAACAGGGGCUGAAAGAAUGCAAAAAGAACUGGGCAGU
rnacentral:lncRNA from 1 species